AGAGUUUGAUCCUGGCUCAGAACGAACGCUGGCGGCGUGGAUAAGACAUGCAAGUCGAGCGAGAUUGUUUCCUGUAGCAAUACAGGGAAAAGUCUAGCGGCGAACGGGUGCGUAACACGUGGGCAACCUGCCAAGAAGUGGGGGAUAGCUCGCCGAAAGGCGAAUUAAUACCGCAUGUGAUUAGGGUGGACAUCCAUUCAAAAUCAAAGCCGGGGCAACCUGACGCUUCUUGAGGGGCCCGCGGCCUAUCAGCUAGUUGGUGAGGUAACGGCCCACCAAGGCUUAGACGGGUAGCUGGUCUGAGAGGACGACCAGCCACACUGGGACUGAGACACGGCCCAGACACCUACGGGUGGCAGCAGUCGAGAAUUUUUCUCAAUGGGGGAAACCCUGAAGGAGCGACGCCGCGUGGAGGAUGAAGGUCUUCGGGUUGUAAACUCCUGUCAUUUGGGGACAAUGCGCAAAUAUUAACUGUAUUUGCGUUGAUAGUACCAGAAGAGGAAGGGACGGCUAACUCUGUGCCAGCAGCCGCGGUAAUACAGAGGUCCCAAGCGUUGUUCGGAUUCAUUGGGCGUAAAGGGUGCGUAGGCGGCGCGGUAAGUCGGGUGUGAAAUCUCGGGGCUUAACUCCGAAACUGCAUUCGAUACUGCCGUGCUUGAGGACUGGAGAGGAGACUGGAAUUUACGGUGUAGCGGUGAAAUGCGUAGAUAUCGUAAGGAAGACCAGUGGCGAAGGCGGGUCUCUGGACAGUUCCUGACGCUGAGGCACGAAGGCCAGGGGAGCAAACGGGAUUAGAUACCCCGGUAGUCCUGGCAGUAAACGGUGCACGUUUGGUGUGGGAGGAUUCGACCCCUUCUGCGCCGGAGCUAACGCGUUAAACGUGCCGCCUGGGGAGUACGGUCGCAAGAUUAAAACUCAAAGAAAUUGACGGGGGCCCGCACAAGCGGUGGAGCAUGUGGUUCAAUUCGAAGCAACGCGCAGAACCUUACCAGCCUUUGACAUCCCGGUCGCGAGCACCAGAGAUGGAGCUCUUCAGUUCGGCUGGACCGGAGACAGGUGCUGCAUGGCUGUCGUCAGCUCGUGUCGUGAGAUGUUGGGUUAAGUCCCGCAACGAGCGCAACCCUCGCCCUUAGUUGCCAUCAUUUAGUUGGGCACUCUAAGGGGACUGCCGGUGAGU
rnacentral:rRNA from 1 species